GCUAGAGAUAAAACAGGAUGUGAUAAACUUUGCUGCAACUCAUGAUGUCACUAAAUGGACAUGAAAACAAUGAAACAAACAUGAAAACAAUUUCACCAAAAAUCUGAGGAGAGCUGAAACUUCUAGCACUGGAAAGCUGAGAAAAUGCAUUACUUUCCCCCAACGCCAAGAAACUACAAUUUGCCAGAACAGAACAGUUGCUUGAAACAUAGAUGUGUAGGCCAACAACAACUGAGAAAAGAUAAAAUGAGAUUUCUGAAAUCUGCAAAUGGAUAAAAUGAUGGGAGGGCAUACGUGAUGCAAGAUGAGAAGACAUGAUAACGAAGCAGAAGGGAGUUUAAAGUUAAGUAAUGGUACUACCACAGCAGAAAAAGAAGCAUGGGAAAAAAAAAAACCAAAACAUUCAGUGCAAAAACAAAAGUAAAAUGUGACUUAAAAUUCCUGGAAAGAAUGGUAGUUGUCAGUCAUUCAUGGUAAAUAACUAUCAACGAUCAGAUGACAAUCGGAAAACAGCAGGAACAGAGAGUAAUGGUUAGAAACAAAGUGGGAGCUAACUGCUGGUAUCUAAUAAUGUCAAUCAAUUGCUUAGAAAAGACAAGCAGUUGAAAAGAAAUAGCAGUUUCUUAACUGCAAUGGAUAUAAAGAGAUGGUCUUUGGUAGCAAAGCAGAUGGAAAAUGGGAGUAAUAAUGGUAAGCUGAUAAAGCCUGGUUGUACUAAGCUGGAUCAGGUGAAGUGACGUAGCAGGGAGAGGGGUGACUAUGCAAACUGAAUAAACA
rnacentral:lncRNA from 1 species